GCUGGCGUAUGCGUUUAUGUCGAAAAGAACCAGCGAGUCAUACACCAGGGUGGUACAAGAAUUAAAAAACAACUAUUUAGGAAAUACCCUGGUUAAAAGAAUAAUAUCCGAUUUCGAACCAGCAAUGUAUACAGCCCUGCAAAAAAGUUUCCCCACUGCCGAGUGGAAGGGCUGUUGGUUUCAUUAUUGUCACAUCAUUUUGGCUACGAGAAAAUGGGCCAUCUAAAUUCAGCGUGUUUGGUCGGUAAGACCGAACCAACAAUUCCCUCGAGCGGUGGAAUCGCAAUCUAAAAGACCACGUGGCAUCACCCCAAAAUUUUCAAAAUUUAUGAAAAUAACGUCAAUGGCAACGCCAUCGGAAGAAGAAGAUUGUUGUCCGGUAGAGGAGGAGGAGGCGGAGGAGGAUAAAGAAGCCGUGGACGACCCUACCUCGAACAUAAAUAUUGAGAUCAACGAGUUCCGACAUGAACUCGAUGAUUUUUUAUCACUGAGAAAAAAAUUUGGUUGAAUCACUUGAAAAAUGUUCAGUUCAACUAAAAUAUUUAGUACCAUACACACGACAAAAUAUUUAUUAAAUUUCACAAAAUAUUUAGAUAAUGAUUCAAAUAGAUAACGAUUUGAAUUAACAAAAUUAAGAGUUAUAUGAAGAUAUUUGGGCUACUCUAACAUUAUAUUUUGUUGCUACGAAAAUAAUUGUAUAUUGAAUCUCCGUAGACUUUGUUGUAGUAAGAAAACAUUCAGCUGAAUUAAUAAAAUGAUAUGCCAUUCAAACAAACAUUUUAUCUCUGUUAACCAAAAAUCUACAGUCCUUAUCUAAAGAUAAAAUCAAAGUGACAAAAUAUAUAUUUACUAUAAAAAAGGAUCCUGUCAUACAGCCUGAAAAUACUGUUAAUCGAAUUAGUAAGUCAUGCACUUUUAAGAACA